rnacentral:tRNA from 1 species
GCCCCUGUGGCGAAAUCUUGGCGAAACGCAUGAAACUUAAAAUUUCAUACCCACGUGGUAAACAUUGCAGGUUCGAAUCCUGCCAGGGGCA